rnacentral:rRNA from 1 species
UACGGAGGGUGCAAACGUUGCUCGGAAUCAUUGGGCGUAAAGCGCACGUAGGCGGCCGUGUAAGUCGGAUGUGAAAGCCCUGGGCUCAACCCAGGAAGUGCAUUCGAAACUACUGAACUUGAGUAUGGAAGAGGGUCGCGGAAUUCCCGGUGUAGAGGUGAAAUUCGUAGAUAUCGGGAGGAACACCAGUGGCGAAGGCGGCGACCUGGGCCAAUACUGACGCUGAGGUGCGAAAGCGUGGGGAGCAAACAGG